AUUGAACGCUGGCGGCAGGCCUAACACAUGCAAGUCGAGCGAGCGGCGGACGGGUGAGUAAUGUAUGGGGACUGCCCGAUAGCGGGGGAUCACUACUGGAAACGGUGGCUAAUACCGCAUACUAUCGGAUAACCCAUAUGGGAUUAGCUAGUAGGGGGGGGAACGGCUCAACUAGGCGACGAUCUCUAGCUGGUCUGAGAGGAUGAUCAGCCACACUGGGAGUGAGACAUGGCCCAGACUCCGACGGAGGCAGCAGUGGGUAAUAUUGCAAAAUGGGCGCAAGCCUGAGUCAGCCAUGCCGCGUGUAUGAAGAAGGCCUUAGGUUUGUAAAGUACUGUCAGCGGGGAGGCGUUACCCGCAGAAGAAGCACCGGAUAACUCCGUGCCAGCAGCGGCGGUAAUUC
rnacentral:rRNA from 1 species